AAUGGCUAGACCCAUCCCAACAACCAAAAUGACCCCUUAAGUCUAUGAGUUACAGACCAAACAACCCCUUUCUACAAACAUUAUGUUUGUAUACAAAUAAAGGGUUAAAGACCCUAAGGCGUCGUCUGCUCCUUCUCUGCAUUUUUGCCUAAAUCAGUAACGGAACAGUGUACGUCCGUGUAGCUACUUUGUUGUUCGUCCAUUUUGAGCAAGAGAAAUUAAUGCUCUUUCUCUCUCUCAUCCAUCUCAACCGUAGAAACACCAAGAGAGUACAUGGCUGGAUCGACUUCUUCCCCUCGAGACAGACUCCCGAGGCAUUGCUGACGAGCAUCUAAGGUGAGCACAUGGCCAGAUCUGCAGCCCGGAUGAAUCCUCCUAUUUUACUUGUCUUAUUUGCUACUUCUGAGACAGUAUUUCAUUUUGAGACUAUGCAUUCCGACUCUUAGCUAUGGAGUGGCUCUUAUACGGCCUAGACCAGAUUUUGGGAUUGAUGUAAUAUUUUCGCACUUAUUUACUUAUCUAUUUCAUACUUGUUAGAUAUU